rnacentral:rRNA from 1 species
UUAAGUUAAUAAGGGCGCACGGUGGAUGCCUUGGCACUAGAAGCCGAUGAAGGACGUGACUAACGACGAAAUGCUUUGGGGAGCUGUAAGUGAGCAAUGAUCCAGAGAUGUCCGAAUGGGGGAACCCGGCAGGUAAUGCCUGUCACUCAUUACUGUUAAGGUAAUGUAGAGGAAGACGCAGUGAACUGAAACAUCUAAGUAGCUGUAGGAAGAGAAAGCAAAAGCGAUUGCCUUAGUAGCGGCGAGCGAAACGGCAAGAGGGCAAACCGAAGAGUUUACUCUUCGGGGUUGUAGGACUGCAACGUGGACUUAAAGAUUAUAGAAGAACUACCUGGGAAGGUAGGCCAAAGAGAGUAAUAGCCUCGUAUUCGAAAUAGUCUUUAUACCUAGCAGUAUCCUGAGUACGGCGAGACACGAGAAAUCUCGUCGGAAUCUGGGAGGACCAUCUCCCAACCCUAAAUACUCUCUAGUGACCGAUAGUGAACCAGUACCGUGAGGGAAAGGUGAAAAGCACCCCGGGAGGGGAGUGAAAUAGAACCUGAAACCGUGUGCCUACAACAAGUUCGAGCCCGUUAAUGGGUGAGAGCGUGCCUUUUGUAGAAUGAACCGGCGAGUUACGAUAUGAUGCGAGGUUAAGUUGAAGAGACGGAGCCGUAGGGAAACCGAGUCUUAAUAGGGCGCAUUAGUAUCAUGUCGUAGACCCGAAACCAUGUGACCUACCCAUGAGCAGGUUGAAGGUGAGGUAAAACUCACUGGAGGACCGAACCAGGGCACGUUGAAAAGUGCUUGGAUGACUUGUGGGUAGCGGAGAAAUUCCAAACGAACUUGGAGAUAGCUGGUUCUCUCCGAAAUAGCUUUAGGGCUAGCGUCGAUGUUAAGUCUCUUGGAGGUAGAGCACUGUUUGGGUGAGGGGUCCAUCCCGGAUUACCAAUCUCAGAUAAACUCCGAAUGCCAAUGAGAUAUAAUCGGCAGUCAGACUGCGAGUGCUAAGAUCCGUAGUCGAAAGGGAAACAGCCCAGACCACCAGCUAAGGUCCCAAAAUAUAUGUUAAGUGGAAAAGGAUGUGGGGUUGCACAGACAACUAGGAUGUUAGCUUAGAAGCAGCUAUUCAUUCAAAGAGUGCGUAAUAGCUCACUAGUCGAGUGACCCUGCGCCGAAAAUGUACCGGGGCUAAAACAUAUUACCGAAGCUGUGGAUACCUUUAUAGGUAUGGUAGGAGAGCGUUCUAUGUGCGAAGAAGGUGUACCGUGAGGAGUGCUGGAGCGCAUAGAAGUGAGAAUGCCGGUAUGAGUAGCGAAAGACAGGUGAGAAUCCUGUCCACCGUAAGACUAAGGUUUCCAGGGGAAGGCUCGUCCGCCCUGGGUUAGUCGGGACCUAAGGAGAGACCGAAAGGUGUAUCCGAUGGACAACAGGUUGAUAUUCCUGUACUAGAGUAUAUAGUGAUGGAGGGACGCAGUAGGCUAACUAAACCAGACGAUUGGAAGUGUCUGGCCAAGCAGUGAGGUGUGAUAUGAGUCAAAUGCUUAUAUCUUUAACAUUGAGCUGUGAUGGGGAGCGAAGUUUAGUAGCGAAGUUAGUGAUGUCACACUGCCGAGAAAAGCUUCUAGCGUUAAUUAUACUCUACCCGUACCGCAAACCGACACAGGUAGUCGAGGCGAGUAGCCUCAGGUGAGCGAGAGAACUCUCGUUAAGGAACUCGGCAAAAUGGCCCCGUAACUUCGGGAGAAGGGGCGCUGACUGAUGGUCAGCCGCAGUGAAUAGGCCCAAGCAACUGUUUAUCAAAAACACAGCUCUCUGCUAAAUCGUAAGAUGAUGUAUAGGGGGUGACGCCUGCCCGGUGCUGGAAGGUUAAGAGGAGUGCUUAGCGUAAGCGAAGGCAUGAAUUGAAGCCCCAGUAAACGGCGGCCGUAACUAUAACGGUCCUAAGGUAGCGAAAUUCCUUGUCGGGUAAGUUCCGACCCGCACGAAAGGCGUAAUGAUUUGGGCACUGUCUCAACGAGAGACUCGGUGAAAUUUUAGUACCUGUGAAGAUGCAGGUUACCCGCGACAGGACGGAAAGACCCCAUGGAGCUUUACUGCAGUUUGAUAUUGAGUAUCUGUACCACAUGUACAGGAUAGGUAGGAGCCUAUGACCUCGGGACGCCAGUUUCGAGUGAGGCGUUGUUGGGAUACUACCCUUGUGUUAUGGCUACUCUAACCCAGAUAGGUUAUCCCUAUCGGAGACAGUGUCUGACGGGCAGUUUGACUGGGGCGGUCGCCUCCUAAAAGGUAACGGAGGCGCCCAAAGGUUCCCUCAGAAUGGUUGGAAAUCAUUCGCAGAGUGUAAAGGUAUAAGGGAGCUUGACUGCGAGAGUUACAACUCGAGCAGGGACGAAAGUCGGGCUUAGUGAUCCGGUGGUUCCGUAUGGAAGGGCCAUCGCUCAACGGAUAAAAGCUACCCUGGGGAUAACAGGCUUAUC